rnacentral:rRNA from 1 species
UACGUAGGCAGCGAGCGUUGUUCGGAGUUACUGGGCGUAAAGAGUGCGUAGGCGGUGCUCCAAGUCUGGUGUGAAAUCUCCCGGCUUAACCGGGAGGGUGCGCCGGAAACUGGGGUGCUGGAGUGUGGGAGAGGUAAGCGGAAUUCCCGGUGUAGUGGUGAAAUGCGUAGAUAUCGGGAGGAACACCCGUGGCGAAGGCGGUUCUCUGGGACGGUACUGACGCUGAGACGCGAAAGCGUGGGGAGCGAACAGG